CCCAGACUCCUACGGGAGGCAGCAGUGGGGGAUAUUGCACAAUGGGGGGAACCCUGAUGCGGCGACGCCGCGUGGGUGAAGGAGCGUUUCGGCGCGUAAAGCCCUAUCGGCAGGGAAGAAGGAGGACGGUACCUGACUAAGAAGCCCCGGCUAACUACGUGCCAGCAGCCGCGGUAAUACGUAGGGGGCAAGCGUUAUCCGGAUUUACUGGGUGUAAAGGGGGCGCAGACGGCGGCGCAAGCCAGGAGUGAAAGCCCGGGGCCCAACCCCGGGACUGCUCUUGGAACUGCGCGGCUGGAGUGCAGGAGGGGCAGGCGGAAUUCCUGGUGUAGCGGUGAAAUGCGUAGAUAUCAGGAGGAACACCGGUGGCGAAGGCGGCCUGCUGGACUGCGACUGACGUUGAGGCCCGAAAGCGUGGGGAGCAAACAGGAUUAGAUACCCCUGUAUG
rnacentral:rRNA from 1 species